UAGGGAAUAUUGGGCAAUGGGCGAGAGCCUGACCCAGCCAUGCCGCGUGCAGGAAGAAGGCUUUCUGAGUCGUAAACUGCUUUUGACAGGGAAGAAUAAGCGCUACGUGUAGCGUGAUGACGGUACCUGCAGAAUAAGCACCGGCUAACUCCGUGCCAGCAGCCGCGGUAAUACGGAGGGUGCGAGCGUUGUCCGGAUUUAUUGGGUUUAAAGGGUGCGUAGGCGGCCUGAUAAGUCCGGGGUGAAAGCCCGUUGCUCAACAACGGAACUGCCCUGGAUACUGUGAGGCUUGAGUACAGACGAGGUUGGCGGAAUGGACCGAGUAGCGGUGAAAUGCAUAGAUACGGUCCAGAACCCCGAUUGCGAAGGCAGCUGACUAGGCUGUUACUGACGCUGAGGCACGACAGCGUGGGGAGCGAACAGG
rnacentral:rRNA from 1 species